UACAGGGGGGGCAAGCGUUGUUCGGAAUUACUGGGCGUAAAGAGCGUGUAGGCGGCUUGGCAAGUCCGCUGUGAAAACUCGAGGCUCAACCUCGAGACGCCGAUGGAAACCAUCGAACUAGAGUCCGGAAGAGGAGAGUGGAAUUCCUGGUGUAGCGGUGAAAUGCGCAGAUAUCAGGAAGAACACCCGUGGCUAAGGCGGCUCUCUAGUACGGUACUGACGCUGAGGCGCGAAAGCGUGGGGAGCAAGCAGG
rnacentral:rRNA from 1 species